rnacentral:rRNA from 1 species
UACGAAGGGGGCUAGCGUUGUUCGGAAUCACUGGGCGUAAAGCGCGCGUAGGCGGAUUGUUAAGUCGGGGGUGAAAUCCUGAGGCUCAACCUCAGAACUGCCUUCGAUACUGGCUAUCUUGAGUCCGGGAGAGGUGAGUGGAAUUCCUAGUGUAGAGGUGAAAUUCGUAGAUAUUAGGAAGAACACCAGUGGCGAAGGCGGCUCACUGGCCCGGUACUGACGCUGAUGCGCGAAAGCGUGGGGAGCAAACAGG